CCCUUAGAUGUUCUGGGCCGCACGCGUGCUACACUGAGUAAUUCAAUGGGUAAGGGAACGCUAGAGCAUUACCUAAUCUUGAAAUUUGCUCGUGAUGGGGAUCGACGGUUGCAAUUUUCCGUCGUGAACGAGGAAUACCUUGUAGGCGCAUGUCAUCAUCAUGCGCCGAAUACGUCCCUGCCCUUUGUACACACCGCCCGUCGCUCCUACCGAUUGAGUGAUCCGGUGAGGCUCUGGGACCUGGACGGAAAGAGCGUUUCGCUUGUUCUGUUUGGGAAACUUGGUCGAACCUUAUCAUUUAGAGGAGGGAGAAGUCGUAACA
rnacentral:rRNA from 1 species